rnacentral:rRNA from 1 species
GCGAAAGUUCCUUUCGGGGAGCGAGUAGAGUGGCGCACGUGUGAGUAACACGUAGGUAAUCUACCUUUGGAUUGGGAAUAACCACCGGAAACGGUGGCUAAUACCGAAUAAUGCAGCGGCACCUAAUGGUGACAGUUGUUAAAGCGGGGGAUCGCAAGACCUCGCGUCUAAAGAGGAGCCUGCGGCGGAUUAGCUAGUUGGUAAGGUAACGGCUUACCAAGGCGAUGAUCCGUAGCCGGCCUGAGAGGGCGGUCGGCCACACUGACACUGACAUACGGGUCAGACUCCUACGGGAGGCAGCAGUCGGGAAUUUUGGGCAAUGGGCGAAAGCCUGACCCAGCAACGCCGCGUGAAGGAUGAAAUCCCUCGGGAUGUAAACUUCGCAAGAACGGGAAGAAUAAGUCGGUGCCAACACCAUCGACGAUGACGGUACUGUUUGUAAGCUCCGGCUAACUCCGUGCCAGCAGCCGCGGUAAUACGGGGGGAGCAAGCGUUGUUCGGAUUUACUGGGCGUAAAGGGCGUGUAGGCGGCCACCGCAAGUCGACUGUGAAAUCUCCGGGCUUAACUCGGAAAGGUCAGCCGAUACUGCGGGGCUAGAGUGCAGAAGGGGCAACUGGAAUUCUCGGUGUAGCGGUGAAAUGCGUAGAUAUCGAGAGGAACACCUGCGGCGAAGGCGGGUUGCUGGGCUGACACUGACGCUGAAACGCGAAAGCUAGGGGAGCGAACGGGAUUAGA